GAUCACUUUGGGGAUGUUGAAAUGGAACAAAUCACGUGUUGCUGCUGAAAUCCCAAGGUAUGGGAAGAAGGUGCCGAAAAUCGUGAACGUGAAAGUGAGCCCUAGGCCUAUUCAGCAGCCAAGGUAGAGCGAAUCACAACUCGGAAGCACCUGACUCACUGAGUUAGCUAAAUCUGUUUAGUUAGUGUUUCAUGUACAUAGCUUGUUUAACUUGUUUCAUAUCCUGCACUUUGUACCUUGUUUUUCCAAUAAAUGCCAAAACAAAAAUAGAUGCACAAAAUGGAGCAAAUGUUACUAGAA